AGAGCGAACGCUGGCGGCAGGCCUAACACAUGCAAGUCGAGCGCCCGUAGCAAUACGGGAGCGGCAGACGGGAUAGUAACACGUGGGAACGCGCCCUUCGGUUCGGAAUAACUCAGGGAAACUUGAGCUAAUACCGAAUACGCCCUUACGGGGAAAGAUUUAUUGCCGAAGGAACGGCCCGCGUCCGAUUAGCUAGUUGGUGAGGUAAUGGCUCACCAAGGCUACGAUCGGUAGCUGGUCUGAGAGGAUGACCAGCAUCACUGGGACUGAGACACGGCCCAGACUCCUACGGGAGGCAGCAGUGGGGAAUAUUGGACAAUGGGCGCAAGCCUGAUCCAGCCAUGCCGCGUGGAUGAUGAAGGCCUUAGGGUGUAAAGUCCUUUUAACGGGGAAGAUAAUGACGGUACCCGUAGAAUAAGCCCCGGCUAACGUUCGUGCCAGCAGCCGC
rnacentral:rRNA from 1 species